ensembl:lncRNA
GGGUGCCACCACGCUUCUUUCUAGGCGGUAUCUGUUCACCUGUACCUGCGUCCCUAGCAGCUUGGGAGCCCUGCCAGUGCCCCUGGAACUGAACUCCCAGGUGGUGCCAACAGCCCCAGUCUCCCCAGGUGACCAGCACGCGUGAAAUGAUGCUUAGAGGGUGAAAUGUCAUCCUUCGAGGAUGAACCGCAAAGGAGCAUGUGAGGGAGCCUCCACCUGUGUCCAGUGGACAAACAGCGCUUCCUGGAGACCAGCCUUUUGCGCGUGGACUGAGGUCAAGCCUUGAAGUCCUUCCUAUCACCUGGUUGGCCGCCAAGAGGAGGGGUCACCUGUGUCUGGACCCCCAAGGCCCCACCCUGCUGCAGAUCGCGAGACCAUCGCCUUCUUCAAACCGCUGCUGGUUUUUCCUGACCUUCUGCCCCACGCACAGAAGGGACUGAGCCUCAGUGUCUUCAUCUGUGAAAUGGAGCCAAGAUUCCUACCUCACGGCCAUCACCUGUGCUUUCGAGUGGAAAGAGGACAGCUUCGGAAUCACGGGGACUUGGUCCAGAUCUCAGUGUUGCCACUGGGCAAGUCUAUCUUUCUGGGCUCCGGUUUCUUGUUUGCAGAGAGGGGAGAGUGGAGGCCACUUCUCCAGAGUUGUGAGAACUGGAGUCAACUCCAUCCUUGGCGGUGGCACGUGCUCUGCAAAUGGCAGCAGAUGGUGCCGGUGCCGAGAGGAGAUGUCAGUGUCCCCGUUUCUCAGGCUAGGAAACGGAGGCUCCAAGAGGAGGUUCAAGUGAAUGGUGAGGCUGGGUUGGCCCCAGCCCGUCUGAUGCACACAUAUCCCACUGCCCGCUGAGCCUCUUUCCCUCCUUGAUUGACCCGGAGGAAGCGUUUGCUCCUGGAGGGGCCCAGCCGUCCUCACACAUUGGCCAGAGGCUGGGGGUGACCGUGGCUGACGUGGCAUUUGCUGUCUUUCCCCGGAGCUGCAGUGACAAGCUAACAACUGUUACCAGGAGUCCUGCUUCCCACCACCAGCGAGGGAGAGACGUUGAUGGCAUCCGGAGGGUGGGCCUGGGGCGUUUGAACCCCAGCAUCCAGACUGGCCAGGGUUGGGGGGUGAGCUGGUU